GCAUGUGGCUCAUUGGUAGAGUGUUUAUCUAGCAUGCACAAGGUCCUGGGUUCAAUCCCCAGCUAUGCA
rnacentral:tRNA from 1 species